GCAAAGCCUCAGUUACCGCGAGAACAUUCAAAAACUAGCUGAGUCAGGAAUGGGUACCUCCCCCUUGACGAGUUGAGCAAAUCCCAUACAGUCUCUAUGAUGACCAUAGCACAGUCGCUGGUGUUAUUAUCGUCGAAUGUACCGCCUUUAAUGGAGGUACGGCCACCGAGAGUGGUAGGCAAGGAGGACCCAGUGAAGCUCUUCAAGAGGAAGGCACGGACAAGGUUAGAGAGGAGGGCUGGCCUCAUGCUCACUGUUAUUGCUAUUACCAACA
rnacentral:lncRNA from 1 species